rnacentral:rRNA from 1 species
AAAAAAGUAGUCUCAGUUCAGAUUGUAGGCUGCAACUCGCCUACAUGAAGUCGGAAUUGCUAGUAAUCGCGGAUCAGCAUGCCGCGGUGAAUACGUUCCCGGGCCUUGUACACACCGCCCGUCACACCAUGAGAGCCGGUAACACCCGAAGUCAGUAGCCUAACCGCGAAGGGGGGGCGCUGCCGAAGGUGGGAUUGGUAAUUGGGGUGAAGUCGUAACAAGGUAUC